CCUGCACUCCAGCACAUCUGAUAAGAGAUCAGACUUCUGCUCCAUACCUCCAUCUGGUCUUAUUUUGGGAAGGCCGUGAAGAACAACACAGAGGAGGAAAGACGGAGAGGGGCACAUCCUCAGCCCUCCCUUUAAUAUGCUCCCCAGCAUCCACACAUACCUGGAGAGAAGAGAGAAAUGCAGCCAUGCUGUCUAAACAAAAAAACUAUUUCUCCAGAGGAUAAAUCAGUUAGUGACCUUGCAGUCUGAGGUCAGUGCUCAUAGGUGAUCUCAUGGAUCUACAUCAAAUGUCAGAGGCUAAGAACUGAACCAGAGUUGACCUUUGACCUGCUGUGAUCCUGCUCAAUCCAUCACCUUCUUACCGUUUUUGCGAGGGGGUCAUCAGAGCGGAAAGUUUGUCACUGUAGAACCUCCUCAUGGCGAAGUGGU